GGAAGAGACUGUCUCAAGUGGGACAGAG
rnacentral:misc_RNA from 1 species